rnacentral:rRNA from 1 species
AUUGAACGCUGGCGGCAGGCCUAACACAUGCAAGUCGAACGGUAACAGGAAGCAGCUUGCUGCUUCGCUGACGAGUGGCGGACGGGUGAGUAAUGUCUGGGAAGCUGCCUGAUGGAGGGGGAUAACUACUGGAAACGGUAGCUAAUACCGCAUAAUGUCGCAAGACCAAAGAGGGGGACCUUCGGGCCUCUUGCCAUCGGAUGUGCCCAGAUGGGAUUAGCUUGUUGGUGGGGUAACGGCUCACCAAGGCGACGAUCCCUAGCUGGUCUGAGAGGAUGACCAGCCACACUGGGACUGAGACACGGUCCAGACUCCUACGGGAGGCAGCAGUGGGGAAUAUUGCACAAUGGGCGCAAGCCUGAUACAGCCAUGCCGCGUGUAUGAAGAAGGCCUUCGGGUUGUAAAGUACUUUCAGCGGGGAGGAAGGGAGUAAAGUUAAUACCUUUGCUCAUUGACGUUACCCGCAGAAGAAGCACCGGCUAACUCCGUG